UGAAGUUGCACGGCGGCACGGUGGACCUUCUCGCCGGCGCGCGCGUGCAGCGAAGAUGCUGCGCGCAGCUCCGUCGAGGUGAUCCGCCGUGGCACAAAAUGCGCGCGAUCAAAAGCAUGGCGACUCAAGCAGUGGAGUGGAGUGGAUGCGGGAGCUGAGGAGCAUCGGUGCCAACAUCAAGGUGAGGGCGUUGCAGCGACGAUGGCGUGCACUGCCGGAACAGAAAAUAAAGGUACGAUGUGGUAACAGAAUCCGCAUAAAAAGGAGGAUAACCGAUGCGUUCCCAAAGCCAAGUGUCCAACCAAGCAGCGAGAUGGGGUGCCCUGUCGUCUGCAUGUGAGCAGGAGGGUACAAGCCAUGCCUCCAUUUCCUGGAAGCUAUUCCAUGAGUA